AGCCUGAACGCUGGCGGCGUGGCUAAGACAUGCAAGUCGAACGGAUGUAGCAAUACAUCAGUGGCGGACGGGUGAGUAAUGAAUCGCUAAUGUACCCCGGAGCCAGGGAUAGCUGUCCGAAAGGGCAGGUAAUACCUGAUGAGACCACGGAUAGGCAUCUAUCAGUGCUCAAAGCAGCAAUGCACUCUGGGAGCAGGCGAUUUUGUAUCAGCUUGUUGGUGAGGUAACGGCUCACCAAGGCGACGACGCAUAGCUGGUCUGAGAGGACGGCCAGCCACAUUGGGACUGAGACACUGCCCAGACUCCUACGGGGGCUGCAGUAACGAAUCUUCCGCAAUGCACGAAAGUGUGACGGAGCGACGCCGCGUGUAGGAUGAAGUCCUUCGGGAUGUAAACUACUGUCAGGGGUAAGAAGUUCUGAUCUACCCAGAGGAAGGACGGCUAACUCUGUGCCAGCA
rnacentral:rRNA from 1 species